UUCCCAAGGACACAAGCCAUGCAUGCCCGCUCACCCGGGAGGCGGCGGACGGCUCAGGACAACGGUUGCACCCCCCGCGGCGGUCCCUGCUAGCCGGACACCGCUGGCAACCCGGCGCCAAGA
rnacentral:rRNA from 1 species